GAGGGGCUGAGCUGGCUGUACAGAGCACUGUGCUCAGCCCCGCUCCAAUCCAUUCAACCCCUGUGCACUAUUCGGAGUGUUGCAAGCUGAGACAAUGUGGGGAGUGGUCCCGGUCGUAUUUCUAAUGCGACUUGGGCUUACUUUCAAACGGUCAAGGCUUGUCCUCCGGUUUAUAUUACAAACACUUUUAUUGUCUUGUCGAAUGUAUUAGCCUCUCGUUAGGCGAAACUUAAAUACAACUUUCAACAACGGAUCUCUUGGCUCUCGCAUCGAUGAAGAACGCAGCGAAAUGCGAUAAGUAAUGUGAAUUGCAGAAUUCAGUGAAUCAUCGAAUCUUUGAACGCACCUUGCGCUCCUUGGCUAUUCCGAGGAGCAUGCCUGUUUGAGUGUCAUGUUAAUAUCAACUCUGAUGGUUUUUGUUAACCAUUGGAUGUUGGACUUGGAGGUUCGUGCUGGCUGCAAAGUCGGCUCCUCUUGAAUGCAUUAGCUUGGACCUGUGCGCGUUUGCUAGCGGUGUAAUACAUUUUAUUCACCACGGGCCGUGUCACUAUUAGGGUCUGCUUCUAAUCGUCCUUACCGGACAAUAUAAAUUUUAUGACUCUGACCUCAAAUCAGGUAGGACUACCCGCUGAACUUAAGCAUAUCAAUAAGCGGAGGAAA
rnacentral:rRNA from 1 species